AUUGAACGCUGGCGGCAUGCCUUACACAUGCAAGUCGAACGGCAGCACGGGAGCAAUCCUGGUGGCGAGUGGCGAACGGGUGAGUAAUGUAUCGGAACGUGCCCAGUCGUGGGGGAUAACGUAGCGAAAGCUACGCUAAUACCGCAUACGAUCUAUGGAUGAAAGCGGGGGAUCGCAAGACCUUGCGCGAGUGGAGCGGCCGAUAUCAGAUUAGGUAGUUGGUGGGGGAAAGGCCCACCAAGCCUGCGGUCUGUAGCUGGUCUGAGAGGACGACCAGCCGCACUGGAACUGAGACACGGUCCAGACUCCUACGGGAGGCAGCAGUGGGGAAUUUUGGACAAUGGGCGCAAGCCUGAUCCAGCAAUGCCGCGUGCAGGAUGAAGGCCUUCGGGUUGUAAACUGCUUUUGUACGGAACGAAACGGCUUUUUCUAAUACAGAGAGCUAAUGACGGUACCGUAAGAAUAAGCACCGGCUAACUACGUGCCAGCAGCCGCCGUAA
rnacentral:rRNA from 1 species